rnacentral:rRNA from 1 species
AAAUUGAAGAGCCGGAUCAUGGCUCAGAUUGAACGCUGGCGGCAGGGCCUAACACAUGCAAGUCGAAUGGCAACAGGAAGCAGCUUGCUGUUUUGCUGACGAGUGGCGGACGGGUGAGUAAUGUCUGGGAAACUGCCUGAUGGAGGGGGAUAAACUACUGGAAACGGUAUACCACCGCAUAACGUCGUAAGCACCAAAGAGGGGACCUUCGCCUCUUUGCCAUCAGAGAUGCGCCCAGAUGGGAUUAGCUUGUUGGUGAGGUAACGGCUCACCAAGGCGACGAUCCUCAGUUCGGUCUGAGGAUGACCAGCCACACUGGAACUGAGACACGGUCCACCCUACGGAGCAAAGUGCAGUGGGGAAUAAUAUUGCACACGGGCGCAAGCCUACGCAGCUGCUGCGUGUAUGAAGAAGGCCUCGGGUUAAAGUACUUUCAGCGGGAGGAAGGUGCUGCGGCUAAUAAAUCGCAGCAAUUGACGUUACCCGCAGAAGAAGCGGCCCGCCAACUCCGUGCCAAAGAAACCGCAAGCGGUAAUACGGAGGGUGCAAGCGUUAAUCGGAAUUACUGGGCGCAAAGCGCACGCAGGCGGUCUGUCAAGUCGGAUGUGAAAUCCCGGCUCAACUCGCCGUGAACUGCAUUCGAAACUGGGCAGGCUUGGAGUCUUGUAGAGGGGGUAGAAUUCCAGUGUAGCGGUGAAAUGCGUAGAGAUCUUUUGAGGAAUACCGGUGGCGAAGGCGGCCCCUCGACAAAGACUGACGCUCAGGUGCGAAAGCGGGGAGCCAGGAUUAGAUACCCUCGUAGUCCACGCCGCAAACGAUGUCUACUUGAGUGUUGUGCCCUCGAGGCGUGGCUUCCGGAGCUAACGCGUUAAGUAGGACCGCUCGGGAGUACGGCCGUUAAAACUCAAAAUGAAUUGACGGGGCCCGCACAAGCGGUGGAGCAUGUGGUUUAAUUCGAUGCAACGUGCGAAGAACCUGCCCGCCUUGACAUCCAGCCAGAACUUUCCAGAGAUGGAUUGCGCCUUCGGGAACUGUGAGACAGGUGCCGCAUGGCUGUCGUCAGCUCGUGUUGUGAAAUGUUGGGUUAAGUCCCGCAACGACGCAACCCUAUCCUUGUUGCCAGCGAUUAGGUCGGGAACUGUAAGCGAGACCGCUAGUGAUAAACUGGAGGAAGGUGAUGACGUCGUCAUCAUGGCCCUGCAUGACCAGUAUACACACGCUACAAUGGCGUUACGCCAAAGAGAAGCGACUUCGCGAGAGCAAAGCGGACCUCAUAAAGUGCGUCAGUCCGAUUGGAGUUCGCAACUCGACUCCAGCGAAGUCGGAACGCUAGUAAUCGUGGAUCAGAAUGCCGGUGAAUACGUUCCCGGCCUUGCAAUAUCACCGCCCGUCACACCAUGGGAGUGGGUUUUCGUAAAAGAAGUAGGUAGCUUUAACCUUCGGGAGGGCGCUACCACUUUGUGAUUCAUGACUGGGGUGAAGUCGCAAUCAGCAAAAUCGUAGGGGAACCUGCGGUUGAUCACCUCCUUA